GUGCUCACUUUGGCAGCACAUAUACUAAAGUUGGAACAAUACAGAGAAGAUUAGCAUGGUCCCUGCGCAAGGAUGACACAUUUAUUUAAAAACCAAGAAACCAAAAA